GCCUAACACAUGCAAGUCGAGCGGCAGCGGGUGCAGUAGUAAUACUGCAUGCCGGCGAGCGGCGGACGGGUGAGUAAUACGUAAGAACUUGCCGUAUAGAUGGGGACAACCAAUGGAAACGUUGGCUAAUACCGAAUGAGCUCGAGAGAGGAAAGGUGCCUAGCGAUAGGUGUCGCUAUACGAGAGGCUUUCGUCCGAUUAGCUAGUUGGUGGGGUAAGAGCUUACCAAGGCGAUGAUCGGUAACUGGUCUGAGAGGACGACCAGUCACACUGGGACUGAGAGACGGCCCAGACUCCUACGGGAGGCAGCAGUGGGAAUAUUGGACAAUGGGGGGAACCCUGAUCCAGCGAUGCCGCGUGGGUGAAGAAGGCCUUCGGGUUGUAAAGCCCAUUAAGUUGGGAAGAAGCUAGUUGCGUGAAUAGCGUGAUUGGUUGACGGUACCGGCAGAAUAAGCGCCGGCAAACUCUGUGCCAGCCGCCGCGGUAA
rnacentral:rRNA from 1 species